GAGAAAGGCUGGAAUCUGAAAGGUUCUUCCGGUCGUCGUCUUGGAUACCAGUCGUGCGCUUCCGGUCGCGAUGCGAUGCUAAGCGCGCUAACGCUAGCGGGCUGCUCGCAGUUUCCAGCUCAACUCGAAACAAACAAACAAACAGAGACGAUGUCCGUCAGUCGACGCUGUUUGGACAGAAUCCUCUCGAUCGUUCUUCUGCUGGUGGUUCUGCUCUCGUGGGGUUUUGUCAUCUACGGCACACGAAUCGCAGCACAAUGGGAGCUCGAGAAACAGAAAAGAUAAAGACGUAAAUCAGCAGACAUCCGCUGAGACGCUUCGACCUGGAUUCACCUCAGACCAGAAACCUUCCCAAAACCAGACUCAAUCCAUGCCACAAAUCUGUGCAGCAUUUCUUAUUUGGAAUGUGAUUUAAGUCUUUCUGUUUCAUUCAAUCAUGUAAAUAUUUCCAUUUUGUAAUGCAUAUUUUUUAUUAAUAUAUAUUUUUUAUUAAGUAAAUAAUGUUUCUUUAGCUCUGUAUAGUGCACUAGAAGCAGCGUAAGCACACUGUAUAGGGCUUGUGUGAGAGCAGAGAUCCUGUAAUAUCUCUCAGUAUUCACUGACACUGAGGGAAUGAGUGCAAGACAGAAGAGAUGCAAUGAAAUUCACUGCUGAAGAAGUCUGAGAACUACGGAAAUGGAACUGGAUGGAUUAAUGUUGGCAGUUCAAUAUAAAUAUAAAGGUUUUUCAUUGGUUCCAGUGUUAUUAUAGUAUCACACACACACAUAUAUAGUUGCUACAUGAUUGUUUUAGAGAUGAAGUUGUGUUUGAUUAAAGUUUGAGUGGAUGUUUUUCUCUCAGA